GUGUGAGUGUGUGCUUCUUGAGGGGAUCCAGAUGAUUAAUGGUUAUACCAUUAGAGUUGGAUUGUCACCAGGAUGUAGGAUCAAGGACCUCCGUAAGAUCAUAUAUGUGUGUCUGUGAUUGAGGAGCGGUUGCAGAAGGCUCACAGCGAUACCAUCUUACUUUGACCGGAUGCAGUGCAUCAGGGAUUUAACUGAUUUUACUCAACUCCCAGGAUCUUAUAAUCACACUCGUAUACUCUUAUACGCGUUGGUGUUCCAAUUGGCAUUUGCUCUCUGUCUCUCCGUCUCAAUCUUUCUCUUUCGGAAGUCUAAUUGGAAAUUGUGACUAGUUGGGAAUUGUUCGCUGGCCGCCUUCUCAAUGAUAAUCCAAUUAAAUAACAACAGUUAUAGAUCUACGAGAGUAUGUCUGUGUGUGUUAUUGGGAGGGGGGAUGGGGAGUGAGGGAGGUGGUUAUAUAGGCGCUAUAUGACCAUCUCCCUCGCACCCAAACAUUGUCAUUUACAUUCGAUGUAUCUGUAUCUUUGGGGCAGGGAAUCUGUAUCUGUAAAUGAAGCUGUAUCUAUUUGCAGUCCAAGUGCAUUUAUAAAUCAAAUAAUCUCUGUGCUGACGUACGUUUCUGUUUCCAACUUCGAUUUGCUUUCACCCUCAUACUUUAUCGCCGUCCCCGCUUUUCCCCAUAAACUCCCAAUGACGUCAACGUGCUGCGUUGGCUUCAUAUCGUGGGUUU